rnacentral:lncRNA from 10 species
AUUUAGUGCGCCCUGGCACCAUCUUGCUUGCAUUCUGGGUAGAGUCAUGGGGUUUGGGGCGGUGUCCUCAGUGCGCAGAGCGGCUUAAAUCAGAGGCUGAGCCCGGCGCUUCCAUAUCACGCUGUACUCUAGCUAAGGACUGGGAAGCAAGUCUAUCCAAGGCUCCUUCAUGUAACCACGCGGCAGUUGGCAGGCACUAGUCCUAGACAACUGAGUUCUCCCUGAAGAAGAGUUAAAGCAAAAUAAAAACUCACAAAAAGGAAAACAACACGAAUAAAAAGAACUAGCAUGGGACCUAAAGGACGUUGCUGAACAAGGAAAAGAGCCCAUCAGGUCUCUGGAGGCUGGAAAAUCCAAGAUCAAGACCCUGGGAGAUUUUUUGUCUGGUGACGGCUGCUUUCUGCUUCCAAGAUGGUGUUUUCUUGUGGUGCCCUCACAGGGUGGAAGCAACAGAAGUGCCAGGCAGCUCUCUGAAGCCUCUGUAAUAAAGGCUUUAAUCCCAUUAACGAAGGUGAAGCCCUCAUGAUCUAAUCACUGCCCCAAAGGCCUCAUCUCUUCAUACCAUCACCGGGAGUUCCUAUUUCAACACAUGAAUUUUGCAGGUCCACACACAUUCAAACCACAGCAAAUACCUCACAUGUAUUGAGUGAUUACUCUAUGGCAAAUAGUUUCUAGGUAUUAGACAUAUUAACAUAUUAACCCACUCAGUUCUCACAAACAGCUCUCUGAGGCAAGUACCGUUAUCUUCCCUGUGGCGCAGACAAGGAAGCUGAAGAACAGUGAGGGGAAGUGAUUUUCCCCAGGGUUUGUGGCCAGUGAGAACCACCGAUCUGAAUCCAAGUCAUUACCAGGGCUCAGGCUCCUAACACUAGACUGAUGUGUUGCAAAGUCAAUAAGCAAAGAUAACAAUAGAGCUGAUUAGAGCAAAGAAGAUGGUUUUAACGUGAAAAUUAAAACAGCAAAAUUAAAAUCUGCAUCGCAAGUGGUGAAGAGAAAAAUAUAUUUCCAGAUGAUAAAUAAAAUAACUUCCUAAGAAGUUGAAAACAAAUUCCUUUCAGUGAAUACAAUAAGUCUUUCUAGAAAAGCCUUUCCAAAAAUCAGAAUUUACCACCAGUUUCAGAAGUCCAGUUUAGUAUCACUAAAAUGUAUC